UUGCCAGCCGCCGCGGUUAUACGAGAGGUCCAAGUUGACAGCCAUCGGCGCAAAGAGUGGUUAAGUGACCCCAAUACAACUAAAGUCGAACGCCCCCAAGGCCGUUAUACGUACUCGGAGGUAUGAAGCACGACUACGAAAGUGGCUUUAAAAUUCCUGACCCCACGAAAGCUGUGAAACAAACUGGGAUUAGAUACCCCACUAUGCUCAGCCCUAAACUUUGAUAGUCUAGUUACACUCACUAUCCGCCCGGGUACUACGAGCUUUAGCUUAAAACCCAAAGGACUUGGCGG
rnacentral:rRNA from 1 species